UACGGAGGGUGCAAGCGUUGUCCGGAUUUAUUGGGUUUAAAGGGUGCGUAGGCGGUUAAUUAAGUCAGUGGUGAAAUCCUGGAGCUCAACUUCAGAACUGCCAUUGAUACUGGUUGACUUGAGUACAGACGAGGUUGGCGGAAUUGAUGGUGUAGCGGUGAAAUGCAUAGAUACCAUCAAGAACACCGAUUGCGGAGGCAGCUAACUAGGCUGUAACUGACGCUGAGGCACGAAAGUGUGGGGAUCAAACAGG
rnacentral:rRNA from 1 species